rnacentral:rRNA from 1 species
UGCAGUCGAACGCGUUGGCCCAAUUGAUUGAUGGUGCUUGCACCUGAUUGAUUUUGGUCGCCAACGAGUGGCGGACGGGUGAGUAACACGUAGGUAACCUGCCCAGAAGCGGGGGACAACAUUUGGAAACAGAUGCUAAUACCGCAUAACAGCGUUGUUCGCAUGAACAACGCUUAAAAGAUGGCUUCUCGCUAUCACUUCUGGAUGGACCUGCGGUGCAUUAGCUUGUUGGUGGGGUAACGGCCUACCAAGGCGAUGAUGCAUAGCCGAGUUGAGAGACUGAUCGGCCACAAUGGGACUGAGACACGGCCCAUACUCCUACGGGAGGCAGCAGUAGGGAAUCUUCCACAAUGGGCGCAAGCCUGAUGGAGCAACACCGCGUGAGUGAAGAAGGGUUUCGGCUCGUAAAGCUCUGUUGUUAAAGAAGAACACGUAUGAGAGUAACUGUUCAUACGUUGACGGUAUUUAACCAGAAAGUCACGGCUAACUACGUGCCAGCAGCCGCGGUAAUACGUAGGUGGCAAGCGUUAUCCGGAUUUAUUGGGCGUAAAGAGAGUGCAGGCGGUUUUCUAAGUCUGAUGUGAAAGCCUUCGGCUUAACCGGAGAAGUGCAUCGGAAACUGGAUAACUUGAGUGCAGAAGAGGGUAGUGGAACUCCAUGUGUAGCGGUGGAAUGCGUAGAUAUAUGGAAGAACACCAGUGGCGAAGGCGGCUACCUGGUCUGCAACUGACGCUGAGACUCGAAAGCAUGGGUAGCGAACAGGAUUAGAUACCCUGGUAGUCCAUGCCGUAAACGAUGAGUGCUAGGUGUUGGAGGGUUUCCGCCCUUCAGUGCCGGAGCUAACGCAUUAAGCACUCCGCCUGGGGAGUACGACCGCAAGGUUGAAACUCAAAGGAAUUGACGGGGGCCCGCACAAGCGGUGGAGCAUGUGGUUUAAUUCGAAGCUACGCGAAGAACCUUACCAGGUCUUGACAUCUUGCGCCAACCCUAGAGAUAGGGCGUUUCCUUCGGGAACGCAAUGACAGGUGGUGCAUGGUCGUCGUCAGCUCGUGUCGUGAGAUGUUGGGUUAAGUCCCGCAACGAGCGCAACCCUUGUUACUAGUUGCCAGCAUUAAGUUGGGCACUCUAGUGAGACUGCCGGUGACAAACCGGAGGAAGGUGGGGACGACGUCAGAUCAUCAUGCCCCUUAUGACCUGGGCUACACACGUGCUACAAUGGACGGUACAACGAGUCGCGAACUCGCGAGGGCAAGCAAAUCUCUUAAAACCGUUCUCAGUUCGGACUGCAGGCUGCAACUCGCCUGCACGAAGUCGGAAUCGCUAGUAAUCGCGGAUCAGCAUGCCGCGGUGAAUACGUUCCCGGGCCUUGUACACACCGCCCGUCACACCAUGAGAGUUUGUAACACCCAAAGUCGGUGGGGUAACCUUUAGGAGCCAGCCGCCUAAGG